GCAACAAGCAGCAAUAUUGGGCAAUACAAUAUUGAGUGAUGUGCCCAUCGAAUAUUUGAGCGAUAUGAAAUAAAUUGCUCCAUAUUGCUCCACUAAUUGCUCCAGAUCGCUCAAUUCGUGACGCUGAGCAAUUAUUGCCGUAAUUAUUGCCCGUGUAAGCGCAUCUUCACAACACAAUAC